rnacentral:rRNA from 1 species
ACGGGUGAGUAAUGUCUGGGGAUCUGCCCGAUAGAGGGGGAUAACCACUGGAAACGGUGGCUAAUACCGCAUAACGUCGCAAGACCAAAGAGGGGGACCUUCGGGCCUCUCACUAUCGGAUGAACCCAGAUGGGAUUAGCUAGUAGGCGGGGUAACGGCCCACCUAGGCGACGAUCCCUAGCUGGUCUGAGAGGAUGACCAGCCACACUGGAACUGAGACACGGUCCAGACUCCUACGGGAGGCAGCAGUGGGGAAUAUUGCACAAUGGGCGCAAGCCUGAUGCAGCCAUGCCGCGUGUAUGAAGAAGGCCUUCGGGUUGUAAGGUACUUUCAGCGGGGAGGAAGGCGAUGUGGUUAAUAACCGCGUCGAUUGACGUUACCCGCAGAAGAAGCACCGGCUAACUCCGUGCCAGCAGCCGCGGUAAUACGGAGGGUGCAAGCGUUAAUCGGAAUUACUGGGCGUAAAGCGCACGCAGGCGGUCUGUUAAGUCAGAUGUGAAAUCCCCGGGCUUAACCUGGGAACUGCAUUUGAAACUGGCAGGCUUGAGUCUCGUAGAGGGGGGUAGAAUUCCAGGU